rnacentral:rRNA from 1 species
AAAGGAAAUAAGACGCGCACAGUGGAUGCCUAGGCACCAAGAGCCGAUGAAGGACG